AUCUAGGUAGUUUAAUUAAAAUUUUGAUUUGUGGAGUCAAGGAUGCAUAUAGUGUUUUAGAUA
rnacentral:tRNA from 1 species